GCUGGGCAUGGUGGCUCAUGCCUGUAAUCCAAGCACUUUGGGAGGCUGAGGUGGGUGGAUCACCUGAGGUCAGGAGUUCGAGACCAGCCUGACCAAUAUGUUGAAACCCCACCUCUA
rnacentral:SRP_RNA from 1 species